AUGGAUUCCAUGAAAGGAGUGAGAAUACCAAGAGAUGGAAUGAGAAAUGUGACAAUGAAUUCAAUGCUUGAGCUAUAUCUACCGAUGGUCUGA